GUCCACGCUGUAAACGAUGAGAACUAGAUGUUGGGAGGGUUUUGCCUCUCAGUGUCGCAGCUAACGCGCUAAGUUCUCCGCCUGGGGAGUACGGCCGCAAGGUUGAAACUCAAAGGAAUUGACGGGGAUCCGCACAAGCGGUGGAGCAUGUGGUUUAAUUCGAUGCAACGCGAAGAACCUUACCUGGUCUUGACAUCCCAGGAACCUCGCAGAGAUGUGGGGGUGCCUUCGGUAACCUGGAGACAGGUGCUGCAUGGCUGUCGU
rnacentral:rRNA from 1 species